AACGAACGCUGGCGGCAGGCUUAACACAUGCAAGUCGAACGCAUGCCUUCGGGCAUGAGUGGCAGACGGGUGAGUAACGCGUGGGAACCUACCCCUUGGUCCGGGAUAGCUCCGGGAAACUGCAGAUAAUACCGUAUGUGUCCUGAGGGACAAAGAUUCAUCGCCAAGGGAUGGGCCCGCGUCGGAUUAGCUAGGUGGUGGGGGAACGGCCUACCAAGGCGACGAUCCGUAGCUGGUCUAAGAGGAUGAUCAGCCACAUUGGGACUGAGACACGGCCCAAACUCCUACGGGGGGCAGCAGUGGGGAAUAUUGGACAAUGGGCGCAAGCCUGAUCCAGCCAUGCCGCGUGAGUGAUGAAGGCCCUAGGGUUGUAAAGCUCUUUCACCGGUGGCGAUAAUGACGGUAACCGGAGAAGAAGCCCCGGCUAACUUCGUG
rnacentral:rRNA from 1 species